AUUGAACGCUGGCGGCAGGCCUAACACAUGCAAGUCGAACGAGUGGCGGACGGGUGAGUAAUGUCUGGGAAACUGCCUGAUGGAGGGGGAUAACUACUGGAAACGGUAGCUAAUACCGCAUACCAUCAGAUGUGCCCAGAUGGGAUUAGCUAGUUGGUGGGGUAACGGCUCACCAAGGCGACGAUCCCUAGCUGGUCUGAGAGGAUGACCAGCCACACGGGAACGGAGACACGGUGCAGACUCCUAAGGGAGGCAGCAGGGGGGAUUAUUGCACAAGGGGCGCAAGCCUGAUGUACCCAUGCCGCGUGUAUGAAGAGGGCCUUCGGGUUGUAAAGUACGUUCAGCGGGGAGGCGGUACCCGAAGAAGAAGCACCGGCUAACUCCGUGCCAGCCGCCGCGGUAAUUC
rnacentral:rRNA from 1 species